rnacentral:rRNA from 1 species
UAAGGAAUAUUGGUCAAUGGACGCAAGUCUGAACCAGCCAUGCCGCGUGAAGGAUGAAGGUCCUCUGGAUUGUAAACUUCUUUUAUCUGGGACGAAAACGGGAUUUUUAUCUCAAUUGACGGUACCAGAGGAAUAAGCACCGGCUAACUCCGUGCCAGCAGCCGUGGUAAUACGGAGGGUGCGAGCGUUAUCCGGAUUUACUGGGUUUAAAGGGUGCGUAGGUGGGCUUAUAAGUCAGUGGUGAAAUCUCCGAGCUUAACUUGGAAACUGCCGUUGAUACUAUAGGUCUUGAAUUAUCUGGAGGUAAGCGGAAUAUGUCAUGUAGCGGUGAAAUGCUUAGAUAUGACAUAGAACACCGAUUGCGAAGGCAGCUUACUACAUAUAAAUUGACGCUGAGGCACGAAAGCGUGGGGAUCAAACA